rnacentral:tRNA from 1 species
AUUUAAAUAGCUUAUUUAGAGCAUAAUAUUGAAGAUAUUAAGGAAAUAAUUUUUAUUUUUAAAUA